ensembl:snRNA U7 U7 small nuclear RNA
UAGUGUUAUAGCUCUUUUAGAAUUUGUUUAGCAGGCUUCCUGGUUUUUGCCACU